UUGACCUCGGAUCAGGUAGGAAUACCCGCUGAACUUAAGCAUAUCAAUAAGCGGAGGAAAAGAAACCAACAGGGAUUGCCUCAGUAACGGCGAGUGAAGCGGCAACAGCUCAAAUUUGAAAUCUGGCCUUACGGUCCGAGUUGUAAUUUGUAGAGGAUGUUUUGGGCACCGCUCCGGGUUAAAUUUCUUGGAACAGAAUGUCAAAGAGGGUGAGAGUCCCGUCUUGGCCCGCGGUAGGACCUAUGUAAAACUCCUUCGACGAGUCGACUUGUUUGGGAAUGCAGGUCCAAAUGGGUGGUAAAUUUCAUCUAAAGCUAAAUAUUGGCCAGAGACCGAUAGCGCACAAGUAGAGUGAUCGAAAGAUGAAAAGCACUUUGAAAAGAGAGUUAAACAGUAUGUGAAAUUGUUGAAAGGGAAGCGCUGGCAACCAGACUCGAGCGCGGUGUUCCCCUUGGCUUCUGCCUUGGUUAUUUCACCGUGACCGGGCCAUCAUCAGUUUUGGGGGUUGGUUAAAGAUCUGGGGAAUGUAUCCUCUCUUUCGGGGGAGGACUUAUAGCCCUGGAUGUCAUGCAGCCUCCCGGGACUGAGGAACGCGCUUCGGCGAGGAUGAUGGCGUAAUGGUUGUCAGCGACCCGUCUUGAAACACGGACCAAGGAGUCUAACAUCUAUGCGAGUGUUCGGGUGUCAAACCCUUGCGCGGAAUGAAAGUGAACGGAGGUAGGAAGGCCUGAGCCUGCACUAUCGACCGAUCCUGAUGUCUUCGGAUGGAUUUGAGUAAGAGCAUAGCUGUUGGGACCCGAAAGAUGGUGAACUAUGCGUGAAUAGGGUGAAGCCAGAGGAAACUCUGGUGGAGGCUCGCAGCGGUUCUGACGUGCAAAUCGAUCGUCAAAUUUGCGUAUAGGGGCGAAAGACUAAUCGAACCAUUGGUAAUCACUACUAGGUGGUUAAGAGUCAAGUGUGAAAAGCACUGGCUAGUCGUGGGUCCACGGCAAGGUCGUCAAAUUGCGGGAACACCCUAAAGCCUGAGGUACCGCCGACCGUCCCGAAAGGGCGACUGGCACCACGGAGAGAUUUCGUGGGUAUGGUAACAAUCCAAAGGAUGGUCCAGGUCAAGUCCUGGGCCGCUGUAAUGGGCAAUCCGCAGCCAAGCCUGUUUCCUCCCUCCCUCCCUCUCAGGGGGGUGUGGUACGGGGGAGAUUGGGUGCAGUUCAUCGACUAGAUGUCGACCGGGUUCCGGGCUUGUUUCCACAAGUCCAGGGCCUCAAGAUAUAGUCAGGCCCCCGGGGAGACCCGGGCGAGGGGAUGAAGUAGGGAGGAUUGGACCCGGUACCACGUCUACCAGACGUGACGGUCCUGCCUACCCGAAUCCCUUUGGCUGGUUCCAUUGGACCGGUGA
rnacentral:rRNA from 2 species